GCCGCGUGUGUGAAGAAGGCUUUCGGGUUGUAAAGCACUUUCAGCGAGGAAGAAAGCCUCUGGGUUAAUACCCCAGAGGAAGGACAUCACUCGCAGAAGAAGCACCGGCUAACUCCGUGCCAGCAGCCGCGGUAAUACGGAGGGUGCGAGCGUUAAUCGGAAUUACUGGGCGUAAAGCGCGCGUAGGUGGCUUGGCACGCCGGUUGUGAAAGCCCCGGGCUCAACCUGGGAACGGCAUCCGGAACGGCCAGGCUAGAGUGCAGGAGAGGAAGGUAGAAUUCCCGGUGUAGCGGUGAAAUGCGUAGAGAUCGGGAGGAAUACCAGUGGCGAAGGCGGCCUUCUGGCCUGACACUGACACUGAGGUGCGAAAGCGUGGGUAGCAAACAGGAUUAGAUACCCUGGUAGUCCACGCCGUAAACGAUGUCGACUAGCCGUUGGGACCUUUAAGGACUUAGUGGCGCAGUUAACGCGAUAAGUCGACCGCCUGGGGAGUACGGCCGCAAGGUUAAAACUCAAAUGAAUUGACGGGGGCCCGCACAAGCGGUGGAGCAUGUGGUUUAAUUCGAUGCAACGCGAAGAACCUUACCUACCCUUGACAUCCAGAGAAGUUGGCAGAGAUGCCUUCGUGCCUUCGGGAGCUCUGAGACAGGUGCUGCAUGGCUGUCGUCAGCUCGUGUUGUGAAAUGUUGGGUUAAGUCCCGUAACGAGCGCAACCCUUGUCCUUAUUUGCCAGCGAGUCAUGUCGGGAACUCUAAGGAGACUGCCGGUGACAAACCGGAGGAAGGUGGGG
rnacentral:rRNA from 1 species